ensembl:misc_RNA
AUACACCCUGGUCCUGGUGCUCAGGGCUGGCAAGCAGGAGGAAACAUGCGCUCACAUCAGCCUGGAGGAAGUGAACGUUCCUGGGCAGGAUAGACAGCCAGCUCCCUGGCUGCCCCUCAGGCUGGAAGGGCCUUGGAGACAUUGUCCACUGGGGUCAAGGAAGAAGAGAGGGGCUGGUGAACU